CGAAGACCUGGAAGUGUUUUUUGAUGUCAUUGAUGUACAAAAAACCUAUGGCCGAAUCUGAUUCUGAUUCUAAUCAGUGGCAAUUAUCAGUACCACGCUUCCACUACAACGUGCCGUUCGAUUUCAUAAUUACAUAUCGUCACUAAACCAUCCACAGGCACCUGUUCAGCUAGGGCAAACAUCCUUGAAACUAAUUAGCUGUGCAACGAUACGAAACUUCUUAUCUAUGACUGGAGAAAAUCAUGAGAUAAACUUUUACAAAUACUAGACAAAAAUUACCAAAUGAAUUAUUUAAUCUAUAA